GUCCCAGUCCGCUGUGGGAACUGGAACUGGCUCUGGGCUCCGAGCCACGAAACUCACCGGUUUCACUGGUUUUAUAAAUCAGGGAGAGGGAGCACUUGUGUCCACAUCUAGGAUCCACAUCCUUCCUUGGACCACUGCCCUUCCCACCCUCCUUGGACCAUUCCUCUCAACCACCCUAAAAAUGGGUUAAAAUCCCCUCGUUUGGGGGUAAAACCAGCACAAUUAUGGGCAAAAGAUCCCAGAUUUUAGCUUCCUGGUGUGUUUUUACACACCAGCCACCAAAAAGCUGGCCCUGGCAGACACAGGGAUAAAAGGAGGGAGCCAUAAAGCCCUGAAAAGUUUAAAGACAUUUAUUUAAAAUACGAUUUAUAAAACGUUUUCUUUCCAGCGCACUUUUUUUUCGGAGCGGAAACACGCGGUGCCGUGUCCAUCCUCCCCCUCCUCGGGAUGAAGGUGCUUCCCACAGGAACGCCACCCAGCCCUGCCCGCGGGCGGGACGUGUCCUGGGCACCAUGUCCUGGCACCGUGUCCUGGUACCGGGAUGCAGCAGGAAAGAGCAGCCGGGAGAAGGGGAUUUCAGUGCUGGAAAACAGGAUUUCGGUGCCAGAGGUGGAAUUUUGGUGCCGGACACAGAGGAGGCAGCAAUGUGGCGCUGACCAGCCGCAUUGGAAAUCCGGUGGAUUUGGGAGGUUUUUGGCUAUUUGAUGCUAUUUUUAGGAAUAAUUAAGGAAAGGCGUAGUGACUACAGUUAUUGCUGAUGUCCUUCUCCCUCCCGCCCCCUCCUGGAGCUCAUCCCGGCCCCCAGCCUGAGAGGGAUGAGUGAGAUCCCCCAAAAGUCAGCAGGAUCCCAGGGGGAAUCCCACCCCACCCGGAACCAGCUGUGAGGAGCUCAUUAAGGUUCCAGCGGAUCGCUUGGAUACACAGGUAGUUUCUAUUUUCCCAUUUCUGUGGGAUUUCAGCCUCAUUUCCACACAAGGCUUUUCGUGCACAUCAAGAUUGGCUCAUUCCCCCUCACACCUACUGAAGACAGUAUGCCGAUGCAGGAAUCCAUCGGGAACCACCCAGCUUUCCAAGUCCUGGCCCCUCCAGGAAGAGCACUUAGUGUUCAUCCAAUCCUUUGAUAUCAAGUGAUCCUCAGCUUCAUCCAGGGGGGAACAUCUCCAUUCCUGGGGAGCAGGAGCCUCCCCAUCCUCUUCCCGGGAGCUAGAGCCUCGCUGCCUCCAGGGAGACAGAGGGAUCAUCCAGGCUUUCUCCAGGGCUGCUCUGGUUCCCAGUUCUGCCGCUCCAGGAGAGCUCGUACCGUCCCUGCGCCCCUGGGGCUGGACCCUCGGGAUAUCCCACUGCCCAACAUCACGGCCAGAGCCUCUCCUCCUCAUCUCCCGAAUUCUUCACCGCCUGGCCCUCCGCGGCUGGACAGCAGGCAUUUUCAUGGGGUCACUCUGCAUUCCCUUCUCCCCAAAUACAAAAGAACCCAAAAAGGAUGUAUUUUAAGCUUUUCCUCAAAGCCAGCAGGAAUCGAAGCCAA